UACGGGAGGCAGCAGUGAGGAAUAUUGCGCAAUGGGCGAAAAGCCUGACGCAGCGACGCCGCGUGGAGGAUGAAGGCCCUCGGGUUGUAAACUCCUGUCAGUUGGGAAGAGAAUGGACGGGUACCAACUGAGGAAGCUUCGGCUAACUACGUGCCAGCAGCCGCGGUAAGACGUAGGGAGCAAGCGUUGUCCGGAAUUACUGGGCGUAAAGAGCUCGUAGGCGGGAUCGUAAGUCUUAAAGGAAAUCUCAUGGCUCAACUGUGGGGCGUUUUUGAGAUACUGCGAUUCUUGAGGAUGUCAGAGGAAAGUGGAAUUCCCCGGUGUAGCGGUGAAAUGCGUAGAUAUCGGGAGGAACACCAGUGGCGAAGGCGGCUUUCUGGGACAUUCCUGACGCUGAGGAGCGAAAGCGUGGGGAGCAAACGGGAUUAGAUACCCUGGGAG
rnacentral:rRNA from 1 species